GAUGAACGCUGGCGGCGUGCCUAACACAUGCAAGUCGAGCGGAGAUAGAGAGAGUACUUGUACAAUUUCUAUUUCAGCGGCGGACGGGUGAGUAACACGUGAGUAACCUGCCUUUCACUGGGGAAUAACAUCGAGAAAUCGGUGCUAAUACCGCAUAAUGUCACGAGGCUGCAUGGCCAUGUGACCAAAGGAGUAAUCCGGUGAAAGAUGGACUCGCGUCCGAUUAGAUAGUUGGUGAGGUAACGGCCCACCAAGUCUGCGAUCGGUAGCCGAACUGAGAGGUUGAUCGGCCACAUUGGGACUGAGACACGGCCCAGACUCCUACGGGAGGCUG
rnacentral:rRNA from 1 species